GUGGAGCAGCCCGGUAGCUCGUCAGGCUCAUAACCUGAAGGCCGCAGGUUCAAAUCCUGCCCCCGCAACCAAGAUUU
rnacentral:tRNA from 2 species